rnacentral:lncRNA from 1 species
AUUGCAUUCUUAGUGUUGUGUUCAGAAGCUCUUUAUGUAAGCCAAGAUCAGGGUUGCCUCCUUUCCCGGGCCUGUUUCCAGUCUUUUCUGUGAGCACCUGGUGCCACUGAUAGAAUAAGAACCUGCAAAAAGGUGUCCACUCUGUCCAGUGCCGGGAGGAACGGAGAGCCUUAUCCUCCUGAAGAGCAGAAGCACCAUCUCCACGAGGUAGGCUCGGUGCCAUGGGCAAGGAGAACCUUUGGGCUAAUGCAGAAGAGUCAGCUGGGGGAGCAUGAGCUGGAGGCCCUCGUGAGGUUGCCGGACGACCUGUUCUGGAGGCUGAAGUCCAAGAUCAGAGUGCCAACAUGGUGGCCAUCAGGGAGAAAAGGAGAAGACACACAGAGAAGGCCACGUGAAGACGGGAAGAGAGUGCAGCAGUAUGACCACAAGCCAAGGAAGCCAAGGAAUGCCAACAGCCACCCGAAGCUGGAAGAGGUUACCUGUGGAAGGUUUUCAUGUCAAUGGCUGACAGCAAAAACAAAGCUGUGUAUGCAGAGAGCAGUCAGGAAACGCUAUCCCUGUCCAGGAAAAGGUGCGAUGUCAGAGUGGCUAUACCAGUCUGCAUUCCCAACAGCAAUGAACAAGAGUUCCUGUUCCUCUACGUCCUCUCCAGCAUUUGGUGCUGUCAGUGUUCUAGACUUUGACCAUUCUAGCAGAGAGAGGGUCGGUGCCUCCAGGCUCAUUCCAGGCUUGAUCUUGCUGUCAGAGCGGCCAAGAUGCUCUGAAGCCUCGGUACUGCUGUGCAGCUGGAACAAGCAGAGUGGCUGUACCAACUUGCAUUCCCACCAACAAUGUAGGAAGGAUCCCCUUUCUCCACAUCCUCUCCAGCAAUUGUUGUUUCUUGCCUUGUCAAUUUUUGCCAUUCUAACUGGCAUAAGGUGGUAUCUUAGUGUGGUUUUGAUUUGAAUUUCCCUGAUGGCUAAUGAUUUUGAACAAUUUUCAUGUGUCGCUUAGCCAUUUGUAGUCAUCAUUGGAAAAGUGUCUGUUCAUAUCUUCUGGCCAUCUUAUGAUUUGUUCAUUUGUUUCUCACGUAUUGAGUUUGAGAAGUUCUUUGUAGAUCUUGGAUACCAGUCUUUUAUCUGUAGCAUCAUUUGCAAAUAUAUUCUCCCAUUCCGUGGGCUGCCUCUUAGUUUUUUUUACUGUUUCCUUGGCUGUGCAGAAGCUUUUGAUCUUGAUGAAGUCCCACAAGUUCAUUUUGUCUUUUGUUUCUCUUGCUUUUGGAGAUGUGUCAUGAAAAAUGUUGCUUUGGCCGAUGUCAUAGAGGUUGCUGCCUAUGUUCUCCUCUAGGAUUUUGAUGGAUUCCUGUCUCAUAUCGAGGUCUUUCAUCCAUUUGGAGUUUGUCUUUGUGUAUGGUGUGAGAUAGUGGUCAAGUUUCAUUCUUUUGCAUGUAGCUGUCCAGUUUUCCCAGCACCAUUUAUUGAAGAGACUGUCUUUUUUCCACCGGAUGUUUUUCCCUGCUUUAUCAAAGAUAGUUGCCCAAAGAGCCAAGGGUCCAUUUCUGGGUUCUCUUUUCUGUUCCAUUGGUCAAUGUGUCUGUUUUGUGCCAGUACCAUGCUGUCUUUGAGAUCACAGCUUUGUAGUACAGCUCAAAAUCCGGCAUUGUGAUGCCCCUAGCUUUGUUUUUCCUUUUCAACAGUUCCUUGGAGAUUCGGGGCCUUUUCUGGUUCCAUACAAAUUUAAGGACUAUUUGUUCCAGCUCUUUGAAAAAUGUCAUUCGGUAUUUUGAUUGGGAUAGCAUUGAAAGUGUA